AAGAUACGCGCAGAACCUUACCAACACUUGACAUGUUCGUCGCGACUUCCAGAGAUGGGAGUUUUCGGUUCGGCCGGACGAAACACAGGUGCUGCAUGGCUGUCGUCAGCUCGUGUCGUGAGAUGUUGGGUUAAGUCCCGCAACGAGCGCAACCCUCACUUUUAGUUGCCAUCAUUAAGUUGGGCACUCUGAAAGAACUGCCAGUGAUAAGCUGGAGGAAGGUGGGGAUGACGUCAAGUCCUCAUGGCCCUUACGUGUUGGGCUACACACGUGCUACAAUGGCAUCUACAACAGGAAGCAAAACGGCAACGUUAAGCAAAUCCCGAAAAGAUGCCUCAGUUCGGAUUGCACUCUGCAACUCGAGUGCAUGAAGCUGGAAUUCUUG
rnacentral:rRNA from 1 species